rnacentral:lncRNA from 1 species
CUCUUCCUCUGUCCAGUCUCUCAGUAGUGGUCCUCUCUGCUCUCGUGGGGGAGGCUGGAAUAUCUGGUUUCCUGAACAAUGGAAAUUCAAUCAGGAAAUGGACCCGAGGUGUCGAAAGAAGGAGAGUACACUCGUUUGUCUCCUCUCGCCUUGCGGCCUGCGGACGCUAAAGAGGACCUGGGGGAGAACAGGCGCAUUGAGAAGUUUGACAUCCCACUCAGCAGCCUGAAGCAAAUGUUUGAGAAACCGCCGACGCAACAUGUGGAAGUGAGUGGUUCAUAUUCGUCUAGUGGGAGAGUAGCAGACAAAUAUAGUGGUUUAGGAGAAAAUAUGUUGAAGCAGGACUCAAACUUUGGUGGAUCUGCGGGCAGCGCAGGUGUUUCACCAUCAAGGGAGGGACACGCCGACGGUGAGGCCGAUACUGUGCCUCUCAAGCAGAGACUGGCCUUAUACCAAGCUGCCGCUACCAAGGAGGAGAGAAGCCCAUCUGUGGUAUUUACCAGCAUGAACACGCACACAAAUACGCAUGAACAUAUGCUGGCCCACACACUCAUAUCAUAUUACCUGUAGUGAAGGAAAAAUAGGCACAGAUUUCCUACUUCUUGUCUAAGGCCUUCCUCUUCCUAUUUAAUAUUUACAAUUCAGAAAAAAAUCAUUUCAGCCCAUAUAAGCAUGCUGUACUUAAUGGCUGUGUAAUACAUAAUAGAUGCAUAAAAUACACAUUAAAUGGAUUUGCACUUUAUUGAUCCCAUGUGGGAAUUUGGGUUGCAUUAAAUAAAGUGAGAUGGCAG